UACGUAGGGUGCGAGCGUUAAUCGGAAUUACUGGGCGUAAAGCGAGCGCAGACGGUUACUUAAGCAGGAUGUGAAAUCCCCGGGCUCAACCUGGGAACUGCGUUCUGAACUGGGUGACUAGAGUGUGUCAGAGGGAGGUAGAAUUCCACGUGUAGCAGUGAAAUGCGUAGAGAUGUGGAGGAAUACCGAUGGCGAAGGCAGCCUCCUGGGAUAACACUGACGUUCAUGCUCGAAAGCGUGGGUAGCAAACAGGAUUAGAUA
rnacentral:rRNA from 1 species